CUCAUAGAUGCGUGAAGAGUAAGUUGGGAGAGGUGGGGUAAUUCUACACUGGAUGGUCCUGAAGGUUUCUCCAAGGAGGAAGUGAAUGUAAACCCAUGUAGCCCAGCGCCUGGCAGGAGUUAAGAGCACCACAAAUGCUGUUCCAUUAAAAUAUGUAUGUAUACAAUUAUUUAUGUCUGGGACAGCCAGUGGAGUUUGCAAGCUGAUAUUCUGGCGUUAUGAUCAUCUCCCCGGCCCUCUUUUCUUCAGCCUCUAAGCAACGGAGCAAACAGUAAAGCAAAGUACUUGGAGAGAAGGCUUUGUCGUUCUUCAGGAGGCUUCACAGGAAGAGGUUUCCUUCCCGGAUUCUGUGAUAUGCUGUGAUUCCCUGGGUGUAAACAGAAGGGAGUUGAAAUGGACUCAUUCGGUGAUCGUGAAGUGGGUCUUCCACUGUGGCUGCAAGAGCACUCAGGAUAUUGUCUCAUUUGUGAGGAGGGAGAGCCCAGAGGCAGAGAUGCCCAGGGAGACAUUGAGACCCACUCCUCCAGCCCUGUUUUGGUGAACGGCUCCAUUAUUUAGCCCAUAGAGGAGCCAGGAACCAUGGUGUCUGUGUGAGACUCUCUCUCUUGCAUUCAGUAGUGAUUCCUAAGUUAUGGACUGAGAACUCCUCGGAGCAAUGGCUAAGGAAAUAUUGCAAGAGAUCCUUGGAUCUGUUGUCUGCGGAGUGGAUAAGGCCCACGACAGCGUUUUCACCUAUAAGUGGGUCUUCGGCCUUGAGAAGGAAUCUUGGCCAUCACUGAGGUGAAGUACAGUGACGGAUGUGUUGGGGCACCUGGGUGGCUCAGUCCGUUCAGCGUUCCGACUCUUGAUAGUGGCUAUCAUGAUCUCAC